GUCCCUGUAGCACAAUGGAUAGCGCGUUGGGCUGCUAUCCCGAAGGUCGUGGGUUCGAAUCCCACCCAGGAUG